rnacentral:rRNA from 1 species
UACGGAGGGUGCAAGCGUUAAUCGGAAUUACUGGGCGUAAAGCGCACGUAGGUGGUUUGUUAAGCCAGCUGUGAAAUCCCCGGGCUCAACCUGGGCACUGCAGUUGGAACUGGCAAGCUAGAGUAGGGUAGAGGGGUGUGGAAUUCCAGGUGUAGCGGUGAAAUGCGUAGAUAUCGAGAGGAACACCUGCGGCGAAGGCGGGUUGCUGGGCUGACACUGACGCUGACAGCGCGAAAGCGUGGGGAGCGAACAGG